GCCCGGGCCGCGGCCCGGCAGCCACGGCGGGUCACGGCGCCCGCGCCCGUGCGGCUCCCCGCAAAGGCGAGCCCGCGGGGCCGCCAGCCGCCGCUCCAGCCACCGCCCGGAAGAAGCGGGCUCCACCGCUCCGCCCGUCCGCCGCGCGCCUCCGCGCCGGGAUUUCCAGUUCUCGCGAGAACGUUUGGCUUCCCCUGGAUGCGCAUGCGUCAGCCUAGUGGGCGGAAGCCGUCGAAGGAGGGGGCGGAGCUGGGGCGGGGCUUACGCCAUCUCUCCCUGUCAGCCCCGCCCCUCGCGGCGCGCCCCGGAAUGACGUCAUCCGCUGUAUAAGAGCGCGUGCGCAGGAGCGUGCGGCCUUUCUCGUCCGGGCGGCGUCGGGGAGCGGUCCUGGGCACUACGCCGAGGCGGUGGCCCGGUCGGAGCCCGGUGGCCCGGUCGGAAUGCGGCCGACUCGAGGGUCUGGCGGCGGCAGGCCGCGGUUGGCGGCGGCAGCCUGCGGGCGGGACGGCCCGGGCGGCCUCGGGGUCGCGUAGGCCGCGGCCGCCACGUGCAGCCCCGGCACUGAGGCCCUAGUGCGGAGUCCCCGGCGCCGAGUCCCCGCGGGCGAGGACGGCCGGGUACGCUGGGGCCGUGGCCGCCGGGAGGCCGCGCACCGCGGGAUGAGAAACCGGUGAAGUCUCCUGGAGCUUCCCGCACUGCACAGGAUUCCAGGCUUCAGCUCCAGGGUGGAGUGGGAAAGGUGAUGGGAAAACAAAGUUCUGGAAGCCACAGAGGGAGCAUUUUCUGCAUAAACCCGAAUGUUUGUUUUUUUGUGUGUGUUUUUAAAUAUAUUUUACUGACUUUUUUUACAGAGAGGAAGGGA